CCCUACAAAUUACAUUUACAGUUUCUGAGACCAGACGAAAUUUCCACUAGACACUUACCAAUGAGAUCAGUUCCAGAAGUGAGACCUAAUAGAAUAUUCUCCCUAUGAAAAAAACAAACCCUCACAUCACCUACACUCUCACAUAGACUGAGAGGGGUAAAGAAUGUUGGUGAUUCUGAGCUAAACAGCUGGAAUUUAGAAUGUUUUCUGAAGUUGGGUUCUGAUCAGCAGCAUUGUCUUCCCAUCAUGAGAAGCAGAUGCAUUAUGGGAUGGGAGGGUAACUUUUGCCUGCCCAAAGGCUAGAUGAAAGAUAAGUACAGUGGUGUAGAAGGAGAAUUUGGACAGAAAUGAAGAAACCUAGAUUUCAAACUGAUGCCUGCCCAAUUGUCUUCUAGGGAUAAAGAAGAUAUCACACAUCCACUGUACCCAGUCAAAUCUUUCUGAUACCCACAGACUCAAUCCAAUCAUACCAUCAAGAUGGGACCUUCACAGAUGAGCAAACUGAGCCUUAAGGAAACUAAAUGACUCCUCCCUACCUGUUCGGGGUAUUGCCACCAUUCUGAGACUCAGCAGAUCCUCAUGUGAAAAGCUGAAAUGGGAAACAUGUACCUCAGAACUGAACAGAACUAAAAUUGUGACCUUCAGCUUCUCAGUCAGGAUAUCAUUCCUCCUCACAAAUGAACUAUGGUUUUUGAAGACAAGAGUAUUAUUAGACUGGAAGAAGAUCAGAAAAC
rnacentral:lncRNA from 1 species